UACGUAGGGGCAAGCGUUAUCCGGAUUUACUGGGUGUAAAGGGAGCGCAGACGGAACUGCAAGUCAGAUGUGAAAGCCCGGGGCUCAACCGCGGGACUGCAUCGGAUACUGUAGAUCUGGAGUGCCGGAGGGGCAAUCGGAAUUCCUGGUGUAGCGGUGAAAUGCGUAGAUAUCAGGAGGAACACCGGCGGCGAAGGCGGCUUGCUGGACGGCAACUGACGUUGAGGCUCGAAAGCGUGGGGAGCAAACAGGAUUAGAUACCCU
rnacentral:rRNA from 1 species